rnacentral:rRNA from 1 species
UACGUAGGGUCCGAGCGUUGUCCGGAAUUAUUGGGCGUAAAGGGCUCGUAGGCGGUCUGUUGCGUCGGGAGUGAAAACUUACAGCUUAACUGUGAGCGUGCUUCCGAUACGGGCAGACUUGAGGUAUUCAGGGGAGAACGGAAUUCCUGGUGUAGCGGUGAAAUGCGCAGAUAUCAGGAGGAACACCGGUGGCGAAGGCGGCUCACUGGCUCGUUUCUGACGCUCAGGCGCGAUAGCGUGGGGAUCAAACAGG